CUCCUUCUCUCAGGAACUGCAUCGCAUAGGAAUAAUGCCUCGCGAGUAACAUCGCGACGGGCAAAUGCAGCUCGCGUAGGCUCGCCACUCUCUUUGCAUUUUUUUGCAUGUAAUCUAUAAUCGAGAAUAUAAUUAUCGGGAGAGACGAGGCAGUUAUGAGGGAAAAUGAUGGAAUUAUGUUAUGUUUUUUAUUGAUACUCGCAUUAUGUACGAGAGUAUAUUCGGCGAACGCCAGACAUGUAAUUAUCAAGAGAAAUUACAGUGACCAAAGUGUAAGAGGCUAUCUAGCCGAGAGGACUUGCUGGUGGAACGAAGUGUGUAAGGAAGAAUUUCACAGUAAGUUUCGGUGUCGCUGCCCGAAAUGGUCCUAUUGUCGUUCACCAGGAAGAUAUUACGACGCACACUGUAGUAUGACACGCACAGGCUACAUAUGGACCCAACCUGAAACGUCAUUAAGUCUCGAAAUCGAUAAGUAAACGAUGCUAUGGAGUACCAGUCCCGCGAAGAAAGACAGGUGAAUUAAAAAAAAAUCGAUAGAAUCCAUUUCGCAUGGCAAAGUUCAUGAAAUAAAGGAUAGCAAUGUACGAUGGAAAUAUUGAAAAUCAAACAUCCGUUCAAAAUCAAAAUCGGCGUUUGUUAAAAUUUUGCAGAUUUAUUCAUCAGUUAUAAGAUACGACACAAUUGUUUUAAAGGUAAUUUUCUAUUAAUAGAUUUAU